rnacentral:rRNA from 1 species
GAGUUUGAUCCUGGCUCAGGAUGAACGCUGGCGGCGUGCUUAACACAUGCAAGUCGAACGGGGGUCAUUUUGCGGAAGUCUUCGGACGGAAGUGAUUUGACUCGAGUGGCGGACGGGUGAGUAACACGUGAGCAACCUGCCUUUUGCUGGGGAAUAACUGUGGGAAACCAUGGCUAAUACCGCAUGUUGUGCCAACUGGGCAUCCGGUUGGUAUGAAAGGAGAAAUCCGGCAGAAGAUGGGCUCGCGUCCGAUUAGGUAGUUGGUGGGGUAAUGGCUCACCAAGCCAACGAUCGGUAGCCGGACUGAGAGGUCGAACGGCCACAUUGGGACUGAGACACGGCCCAGACUCCUACGGGAGGCAGCAGUGGGGAAUAUUGGGCAAUGGGGGAAACCCUGACCCAGCGACGCCGCGUGAAGGACGAAGGCUUUCGGGUUGUAAACUUCUUUGGGGAGGGACGAAAUUGACGGUACCUCCAGAACAAGCCACGGCUAACUACGUGCCAGCAGCCGCGGUAAUACGUAGGUGGCAAGCGUUAUCCGGAUUUACUGGGUGUAAAGGGCGCGCAGGCGGUUCUGAAAGUCAGAUGUGAAAGAUCAAGGCUUAACUUUGACAGGUCAUCUGAAACUUUGGGACUUGAGUAUCAGAGGGGAAAGUGGAAUUCCUGGUGGAGCGGUAAAAUGCGCAGAGAUCAGGAGGAACACCGGUGGCGAAGGCGGCUUGCUGGGUCUUGACUGACGCUGAUGCACGAAAGCGUGGGGAGCAAACAGGAUUAGAUACCCUGGUAGUCCACGCCGUAAACGAUGAGUACUAGUUGUGGCCCAAAAGGGUCAGUGCUGAAGGUAACGCCAUUAAGUACUCCGCCCUGAGUAGUACGUGCGCAAGCAUGAACUCAAAAGAAAUGACGGGACCCCGCACAAGCGGUGGAUCAUGUUGUUAAUUCGAGGAUACACGAAAAACCUUACCAGGCCUUGACAUACUCUGCAAAGACUUAGAAAUAAGUACGGAGGUUAACAGAGAUACAGGUGGUGCACGGUUGUCGUCAGCUCGUGUCGUGAGAUGUUGGGUUAAGUCCCGCAACGAGCGCAACCCUUAUUGCUAGUUGCCAUCAUUAAGUUGGGCACUCUAGCAAGACUGCCGGUGACAAAUCGGAUGAAGGUGGGGAUGACGUCAAAUCAUCAUGCCCCUUAUGACCUGGGCUACACGCGUGCUACAAUGGCUAAUACAAAGAGUUGCAAAACCGUGAGGUAGAGCUAAUCUCAUAAAGUUAGUCUCAGUUCGGAUUGUAGUCUGCAACUCGACUACAUGAAGUUGGAAUCGCUAGUAAUCGUAAAUCAGAAUGUUACGGUGAAUACGUUCUCGAGUCUUGUACACACCGCCCGUCAA